AAAAAUGCUUGUUAUCUAACUUCUAACCUCAAUGAUGUCACACGAUUAGAAAACACUUUUAUUUAAGUUUAAUAUUAACCAGCAAUGAUUCAUAAGUUGUUAUCAAGAAAGUGAAGCCCACUAAUGGUUUCCGUUAUGAUUCGAGAGAAAAAAACAUAAAAUCACGCACAAACCGUGAAAUGCAUUUUAGUCUAAUAAAACAUUUUGAUUGUGCUAAACCUUUUCUACUUAAUUAAAAAUUGUAUUUCAAAAUGAAUUUCUCUUGGAUUUGGACAUUGUUAUUGUUAGUAACAUUAACUUCUGCUAAAUGGGUAGAUAUUGUAAGACCAGAACAUCUUGAAAUGAAACCAAUAGGACCAAUACCAACCUGUAAGAAUGGAGAAAUGUUUGUGAUGCGGAAAUGUCGAAAAAUUAUCAGAUUUGAUAUGAGUAAAAUGCCUAAACCAUGAGUACCAACACCGAUGAAUAAUUUUAAGCUCACUUUUCUGUACUUAUCCUAAAUUAAUCAAAUAAAAUUCUUAAUCGUUGAAUUUACAAUCGAUAAAUAAUUUCUUGAAUCAUUUUUGUUAAUUACUUCCCAAAACAAAUAUUUGCCAAUUCAAUUCAAUUCUAAUUUUAACGAACUCGUAGCAAGCGAUGAUAUCACUUAUCAGUAGGCGAUAAAAAGAUAAAGGUGUGUAUUCGGCGGCGUGUGAAUGUAGUCUAGUCAGUUUUAGCUUUGAUAUCGAGAAAUAAACAUCAAAUAGUCUAAAAGUCGUGCACAAUGAAGAUUUUCUAUUUGGGCAUUUGUGUUCUCCUCCUGCUGACUCUAGUAACCACCAACUCAGCCGAAUGGGUGGUUUUAAAUCGUGAUCCCAAACCACAAACAGCUUCUAUUAUUAAUGUGCGAAGCAAGUGCACCAAGCCAAACGAGAUUUGGAAGUUCGGAAAAUGUCGCAAAAUUUAUCAUGCUAAUAAACCAUGACAGACAACAAAGACAAAAACUGUGUUGCAUACAAUCCAAAUGAAUACUAAACUUGGUCUAUUUAGAAGUAUACACCUCAAGAUGUAUAAUUAGUUGCCUAUAUUACUCUACAUCUUUAAUAAAGAUAUUUAUGCUUAUUUAUAAUUUUAUUAACUGUUUAAUAUUUGGUAAAUAUGCUUAAUUUAAUCACUUAACCUAUUAACCUACUAAACCACAUUUGGUGUGCAAAUAUUUGCAAAUAUCUACUAUUUUACGGUAAAUAAUCUUAUGCUUAGUACGUUAAAAGUUCGUGUAGUCUACAUUUUGUGUAAUAUUGGUUGUCUACGACAAUUGACAUCGCAAUACCACUAUUAACAUUAUGAAAUCCCUACUUCUCGUGCAAUAAAUACAAUUUAAUCAAUGAACUUAUGAUCCCCGAUCUCAUACCAACUAUUGUAUCAACGUGAAGCAGCCGUUUACAAUAAAAUGAAGUUUUUCAAACAUUUCUGCGCGUUGUUACUGAUUACAAUGUGCAUUAUGGUUGCAUUGGUGGAUAAAACCGAGGGAAAAUGGGUUGAUAUUGUUCGGACGGAACCACCGCUAGGUGGGGCUUUCAUUACCGUCAAAAAUAAAAGUUGUCCGGAAGGAGAAAUUAGGAUUGGGAAAAGAUGCCGACCAUAUACUAGGUCGAACUAAACAUAGUUUUAAAACAAUUUUUCCAAUAGUUUUGGUAAAAGUGAGCAAAAUGUAGUAUUUUGUACAUGUGCGCCAUUUAGAUGUAAAAAUACCGGAAAUAAUUUCAUUAUAUACAAAUUAAUGAACCUAAUUUGCUCCUUUUAAUCUAAAAACGUUUAAAAAAUAUUCAUUGUCUUAAAAAAAACUCUUGUUUCGCAUAUUUUCAUAUAUUAUGGGUUGCCUACAGUUGUUGACAUGUGAAUAAAGUUAUUUUUAGUAUAUUUGCGUUGUAAGAUGAAGUUGUAUGAUCCCUACUUCUCGUUUAAUAAAAAUAAUUUAAUCAGUGAACUUAUAACCUCCAUCACAAACCAAGUAAUGUACUAAAGCAAAGCCAACGCCGCUUAAAUUUCUGCUCCUUAUAACUUAUUACAAGCACAAUGAAGUUGUUAACGCGUUUCUGUGCGAUUUUUGUGAUUGCACUCUGCGUUAUGAGUGUAUUCAUCGCUUCAUUCAUCGCAGAAGGAAAAUGGGUGGAUAUUGUUCGCACUGAGCCACCGCUGACAGGAUCUAUCAUUCAUGUCAGGGAGAAAAAAUGCCCGCCCGGUCAUAUUAGGAUUCGGACAAGAUGUCGCCAGGUUCUUAUAAGCAAGCAAACAGAGUCUUGAAGUAAUGAAGAAUUUUGUCCUAAAUGUAUUCUAAAACUGGUAAAGUAUUCGAAAAUAGAAAUAUAAACAAGUGCGCCAUCUAUACGUAAAAGUGUCCAAAUGUUUUGAUUCCAACCUAUAUUUUAGCCCCAUAAAAAAAACUUUUGAAACAUAAUUGUUUUAAGUUUAUGUUAUCGAUAACAAUAAAAUAUAUGCCCCCCUCUUCUAUGGUUUCACUUCAUCUAGAAUGACCUUAAGAAUUGAACUUAUAAUCUGUAACUGCCCCUCAUACAAUCUCAGUCCACAUUUGUUUUGCAAGUAGCAAACAUUGCACUUACAUAAUUUCCAUAAUGAAGUGCUACGUUAUUUUCUUAAACGUUUUGUUAAUUUUGUGUAUCGUGUUUUCAAUUGUUGAUAAAACAGAAGGAGAUUUGGUUGAUAUGUCUCAAUACAAAGGAUCGUCAAUAUUCGCAAGUGUCAUUGAUGUCCCAAACAAACGAAAAUGCCCACCAAAUCAUAUCAUGAUUGGAAGCAGAUGCAAAUUACUUCUUCGUCCAAUUGCAGGAGUAUAAAACUUCCGUAGUUUAUAUUCGACUUUUAGAGUACGCGACGUGUUCAAUUACAUGGAUUUUACCCAACUGGAUACCGAAAGCCGAGGCAUGCUUAAAUAAUACUCCUAUAUUGUACUCACUACUUGUAGAUGCUGUAAUCUGCAUAGCCAGGCCCUGUAAUGUGUUCAUUAUACUGUAGAAGAGAUAAAAUAACUUAGUAAUAAACUCAAUUUUUCUUCAAAAAAAAAACAAGAAAUAAUAAGAAUAAUUAUAUAUUUACUAUAUGCAACCAACAAUAAAGAGUGAAACAUC